GAUGAACGCUAGCUACAGGCUUAACACAUGCAAGUCGAGGGGCAGCAUGAACAAAGCUUGCUUUGUUUGAUGGCGACCGGCGCACGGGUGCGUAACACGUAUCCAAUCUGCCCGCGGCUCGGGGAUAGCCCAUCGAAAGAUGGAUUAAUACCCGAUGGCGUGGUUUCUCCGCAUGGAGUUUCCACUAAAGGUUUUCCGGCCGCGGAUGAGGAUGCGUAUGGGUAGGUAGUAGGCGGGGUAACGGCCCACCUAGCCUUCGAUCAUUAGGGGUUCUGAGAGGAAGGUCCCCCACACUGGAACUGAGAAACGGUCCAGACGCCUACGGGAGGCAGCAGUGAGGAAUAUUGGUCAAUGGGCGAGAGCCUGAACCAGCCAAGUAGCGUGAAGGAAGACUGCCCUAUGGGUUGUAAACUUCUUUUGUUCGGGAAUAAAGUGCAGUAUGUAUACUGUUUUGUAUGUACCGUUCGAAUAAGCAUCGGCUAAUUCCGUGCCAGCCGCCGCUGUAAUAC
rnacentral:rRNA from 1 species